GCAGCGGAAAGCUCAGUAACACGUGGCCAAACUACCCUGUGGAUGGGAAUAAUCUCGGGAAACUGAGGCUAAUUCCCAAUAAUGCUCCACCCCUGGAAUGGGUGGAGCUGGAAACGCUACGGCGCCACAGGAUGUGGCUGCGGUCGAUUAGGUAGACGGUGGGGUAACGGCCCACCGUGCCAAUAAUCGGUACGGGUUGUGAGAGCAAGAGCCCGGAGACGGAAUCUGAGACAAGAUUCCGGGCCCUACGGGGCGCAGCAGGCGCGAAACCUUUACACUGUACGCAAGUGCGAUAAGGGGACUCCGAGUGUGAAGGCAUAGAGCCUUCACUUUUGUACACCGUAAGGUGGUGCACGAAUAAGGGCUGGGCAAGACCGGUGCCAGCCGCCGCGGUAAUACCGGCAGCCCGAGUGAUGGCCGAUAUUAUUGGGCCUAAAGCGUCCGUAGCUGGCCGGACAAGUCCGUUGGGAAAUCUGUCCGCUUAACGGGCAGGCGUCCAGCGGAAACUGUUCGGCUUGGGACCGGAAGACCUGAGGGGUACGUCCGGGGUAGGAGUGAAAUCCUGUAAUCCUGGACGGACCACCGGUGGCGAAAGCGCCUCAGGAGGACGGAUCCGACAGUGAGGGACGAAAGCUAGGGUCUCGAACCGGAUUAGAUACCCGGGUAGUCCUAGCUGU
rnacentral:rRNA from 1 species